rnacentral:tRNA from 1 species
UUCGGAGUAGUUCAGUGGUAAAACGCCUGACUGUUAAUCAGGAUGUCGCUGGUUCGAUCCCAGCCUCCGGAGCCA